rnacentral:rRNA from 1 species
AGCGGCAGGCCUUAUACAUGCAAGUCGAGGGGCAGCAUAGAUUGCUUGCAAUCUGAUGGCGACCGGCGAACGGGUGCGUAACGCGUAUGCAACUUACCUUUUACUAGGAGAUAGCCAAGAGAAAUUUUGAUUAAUAUCCUAUACAAUUAUUUUUUCGCAUGAAUCAAUAAUAAAAGCUCAGGCGGUAAAAGAUGGGCAUGCGUCCUAUUAGCUAGUAGGUGAGGUAAAGGCUCACCUAAGCAACGAUAGGUAGGGGUCCUGAGAGGGAGAUCCCCCACACUGGUACUGAGACACGGACCAGACUUCUACGGAAGGCAGCAGUAAGGAAUAUUGGACAAUGGAGGCAACUCUGAUCCAGCCAUGCCGCGUGCAGGAAGACGGCCUUAUGGGUUGUAAACUGCUUUUAUACAGGAAGAAACCUGCUCACGUGUGAGCAGCUGACGGUACUGUAAGAAUAAGGAUCGGCUAACUCCGUGCCAGCAGCCGCGGUAAUACGGAGGAUCCAAGCGUUAUCCGGAAUUAUUGGGUUUAAAGGGUCCGCAGGCUGUUUGUUAAGUCAGAGGUGAAAUCCUACCGCUCAACGGUAGAACUGCCUUUGAUACUGACAAACUUGAGUUAUUGUGAAGUAAUUAGAAUGUGUAGUGUAGCGGUGAAAUGCAUAGAUAUUACACAGAAUACCGAUUGCGAAAGCAGAUUACUAACAAUAUACUGACGCUGAGGGACGAAAGCGUAGGUAGCGAACAGGAUUAGAUACCCUGGUAGUCUACGCCGUAAACGAUGGUCACUAGCUGUUCGAUAUACAUUGGUAUGUUGAGUGGCUAAGCGAAAGUGAUAAGUGACCCACCUGGGGAGUACG